rnacentral:rRNA from 1 species
UACAGAGGUGGCAAGCGUUGUUCGGAAUUACUGGGCGUAAAGGGCGCGUAGGCGGCCAUCUAAGUCAGACGUGAAAUCCCCCGGCUUAACCUGGGAACUGCGUCUGAUACUGGAAGGCUUGAGUAUGGGAGAGGGAUGUAGAAUUCCAGGUGUAGCGGUGAAAUGCGUAGAUAUCUGGAGGAAUACCGGUGGCGAAGGCGGCAUCCUGGACCAUUACUGACGCUGAGGCGCGAAAGCGUGGGGAGCGAUCCGG